UUGAACGCUGGCGGCAGGCCUAACACAUGCAAGUCGAACGGUAACAGGAAGCAGCUUGCUGCUUUGCUGACGAGUGGCGGACGGGUGAGUAAUGUCUGGGAAACUGCCCGAUGGAGGGGGAUAACUACUGGAAACGGUAGCUAAUACCGCAUAACGUCGCAAGACCAAAGAGGGGGACCUUAGGGCCUCUUGCCAUCGGAUGUGCCCAGAUGGGAUUAGCUAGUAGGUGGGGUAAAGGCUCACCUAGGCGACGAUCCCUAGCUGGUCUGAGAGGAUGACCAGCCACACUGGAACUGAGACACGGUCCAGACUCCUACGGGAGGCAGCAGUGGGGAAUAUUGCACAAUGGGCGCAAGCCUGAUGCAGCCAUGCCGCGUGUAUGAAGAAGGCCUUCGGGUUGUAAAGUACUUUCAGCGGGGAGGAAGGGAGUAAAGUUAAUACCUUUGCUCAUUGACGUUACCCGCAGAAGAAGCACCGGCUAACUCCGUGCCAGCAGCCGCGGUAAUACGGAGGGUGCAAGCGUUAAUCGGAAUUACUGGGCGUAAAGCGCACGCAGGCGGUUUGUUAAGUCAGAUGUGAAAUCCCCGGGCUCAACCUGGGAACUGCAUCUGAUACUGGCAAGCUUGAGUCUCGUAGAGGGGGGUAGAAUUCCAGGUGUAGCGGUGAAAUGCGUAGAGAUCUGGAGGAAUACCGGUGGCGAAGGCGGCCCCCUGGACGAAGACUGACGCUCAGGUGCGAAAGCGUGGGGAGCAAACAGGAUUAGAUGCCCUGGUAGUCCACGCCGUAAACGAUGUCGACUUGGAGGUUGUGCCCUUGAGGCGUGGCUUCCGGAGCUAACGCGUUAAGUCGACCGCCUGGGGAGUACGGCCGCAAGGUUAAAACUCAAAUGAAUUGACGGGGGCCCGCACAAGCGGUGGAGCAUGUGGUUUAAUUCGAUGCAACGCGAAGAACCUUACCUGGUCUUGACAUCCACGGAAGUUUUCAGAGAUGAGAAUGUGCCUUCGGGAACCGUGAGACAGGUGCUGCAUGGCUGUCGUCAGCUCGUGUUGUGAAAUGUUGGGUUAAGUCCCGCAACGAGCGCAACCCUUAUCCUUUGUUGCCAGCGGUCCGGCCGGGAACUCAAAGGAGACUGCCAGUGAUAAACUGGAGGAAGGUGGGGAUGACGUCAAGUCAUCAUGGCCCUUACGACCAGGGCUACACACGUGCUACAAUGGCGCAUACAAAGAGAAGCGACCUCGCGAGAGCAAGCGGACCUCAUAAAGUGCGUCGUAGUCCGGAUUGGAGUCUGCAACUCGACUCCAUGAAGUCGGAAUCGCUAGUAAUCGUGGAUCAGAAUGCCACGGUGAAUACGUUCCCGGGCCUUGUACACACCGCCCGUCACACCAUGGGAGUGGGUUGCAAAAGAAGUAGGUAGCUUAACCUUCGGGAGGGCGCUUACCACUUUGUGAUUCAUGACUGGGGUG
rnacentral:rRNA from 1 species